CCAGAGUUCAUACUCUGGUAUCCUGUACUGAAUUCAUAGGUACAGGAGGGGAACCGCCUGAACUGAAACAUCUAAGUAGGGCGAGGAAGAGACAUCAAAUGAGAUUCCGUUAGUAGUGGCGAGCGAACGCGGAAGAGGGCAAACCGGGAGGAGAAAUCCUUCCGGGGUAUGGACCGCUUUUAGGACUUAAGCUGUUAAUCGAAUGGCAUGGGAAGGCCAACCAAAGAGUGUGAGAGUCACGUAGAUGAAAACGGCGAGAGCUGCGCGAGUUCCGGAGUACGGCCAGACACGUGAAACCUGGUCGGAAGAUGGGGGGACCACCCUCCAACCCUAAAUACUACCCAGUGACCGAUAGCGUAUAGUACUGUGAAGGAAAGGUGAAAAGGACCCCGGGAGGGGAGUGAAAUAGAACCUGAAACCUUGUGCCUACAAGCACAUAGAGCACAUCAACGUGUGAUAUGGUACUUUUUGUAGAACGGUCCGGCGAGCGAUUGUAUGUUGCGAGCUUAAGGUCUUAAGGACUGGAGGCGCAGCGAGAGCGAGUCUGAACAGGGCGUUCAGUAACAUGCAAUGGGCCCGAAACCGGGUGACCUACCCAUGAUCAGGCUGAAGUGAAAGUAAAAUUUCAUGGAGGGCCGAACCGACCUCCGUUGAAAAGGCGGCGGAUGAAUUGUGGGUAGCGGAGAAAUUCCAAUCGAACUCGGAGAUAGCUGGUUCUCCCCGAAAUAGCUUUAGGGCUAGCCUCAUAUUAGAUACCCGGAGGUAAAGCACUGAAUGGCCUAGCGCCCGAGAGGGUAGCGAAGCCUAUCAAACUAAGAAUGCCGGAGUAUUGAUGUAUGGGAGUCAGACAGUGUGAGAUAAAUCUCAUUGUCAAAAGGGAAACAGCCCAGAUCUACAGCUAAGGUCCCAAAUUGUAUCUAAGUGGAAAACGAUGUGGAAAUACGCAGACAACCAGGAUGUUGGCUCAGAAGCAGCCACUCAUUUAAAGAGUGCGUAAUAGCUCACUGGUCGAGUGAUUCUGCGCCGAAAAUUUCCGGGGCUAAAACUUACUACCGAAGCUACGGCAUCAUUAUGAUGGGUAGGGGAGCUUUCUAUACGGGUUGAAGCAUGACCGUAAGGACAUGUGGACUGUAUAGAAGUGAGAAUGUUGGCAUGAGUAGCGAGAUGUGGGUGAGAAUCCCACAGGCCGUAAACCCAAGGUUUCCAGGGGAAGGUUCGUCCGCCCUGGGUAAGUCGGGACCUAAGGCGAGGCCGAAAGGCGUAGUGGAUGGAAAGCAGGCGAAAGAUUCCUGCACCCGUAUAUGGAGCGAAGGAGUGACGGAGACGGAUAGUGUGACCCUCUUAAUGGAUUGAGGGCGAAGCGAAGCGGCUGGUUACCAGGCAAAUCCGGUAACCUCAAGGCUAGGGCGUGACAGGCAAGCGAAAUCCAAGGAAAGUAGCGAAGCACAUGAUGACGGCUUCCAGGAAAAGCUUCUGGCAAUGCAUAUGCGGCCCGUACCAAAACCGACACAGGUGGGCAGGGAGAGAAUCCCGAGGUGAGCGAGAGAACUGUUGCCAAGGAACUCGGCAAAAUGACUCCGUAAGUUAGCGAGAAGGAGUGCUUAAGCAAUUAAGCCGCAGUGAAGAGGCCCAAGCGACUGUUUAACUAAAACACAGCUCUCUGCGAAGUCGCAAGACGAAGUAUAGGGGGUGACACCUGCCCGGUGCUGGAAGGUUAAGAGGAUCUGUUAAGAGCGAUCUGAAGCAGUGAUCCGAAGCCCCAGUGAACGGCGGCCGUAACUAUAACGGUCCUAAGGUAGCGAAAUUCCUUGUCAGGUAAGUUCUGACCCGCACGAAAGGUGUAACGAUUUGGGCGCUGUCUCGGCAGCAGACUCGGUGAAAUCUUAGUACCUGUGAAAAUGCAGGUUACCCGCAA
rnacentral:rRNA from 1 species